rnacentral:rRNA from 1 species
ACGCUGGCGGCAGGCCUAACACAUGCAAGUCGAGCGGUAGCACAGGAGAGCUUGCUCUCUGGGUGACGAGCGGCGGACGGGUGAGUAAUGUCUGGGAAACUGCCUGAUGGAGGGGGAUAACUACUGGAAACGGUAGCUAAUACCGCAUGACCUCGCAAGAGCAAAGUGGGGGACCUUCGGGCCUCACGCCAUCGGAUGUGCCCAGAUAGGAUUAGCUAGUAGGUGGGGUAAUGGCUCACCUAGGCGACGAUCCCUAGCUGGUCUGAGAGGAUGACCAGCCACACUGGAACUGAGACACGGUCCAGACUCCUACGGGAGGCAGCAGUGGGGAAUAUUGCACAAUGGGCGCAAGCCUGAUGCAGCCAUGCCGCGUGUGUGAAGAAGGCCUUAGGGUUGUAAAGCACUUUCAGCGAGGAGGAAGGCGUUGCAGUUAAUAGCUGCAGCGAUUGACGUUACUCGCAGAAGAAGCACCGGCUAACUCCGUGCCAGCAGCCGCGGUAAUACGGAGGGUGCAAGCGUUAAUCGGAAUUACUGGGCGUAAAGCGCACGCAGGCGGUUUGUUAAGUCAGAUGUGAAAUCCCCGAGCUUAACUUGGGAACUGCAUUUGAAACUGGCAAGCUAGAGUCUUGUAGAGGGGGGUAGAAUUCCAGGUGUAGCGGUGAAAUGCGUAGAGAUCUGGAGGAAUACCGGUGGCGAAGGCGGCCCCCUGGACAAAGACUGACGCUCAGGUGCGAAAGCGUGGGGAGCAAAC